rnacentral:rRNA from 1 species
ACCAUGGGAGCCGGAAAUGCCCGAAGCCAGUGACCCAACCUUAGGAGGGAGCUGUCGAAGGUGGAGCCGGUAACUGGGUGAAGUCGUAACAAGGUAUC